GCCAUCUUAGCUCAGCUGGUAGAGCAACGGUUUUGUAAACCGUAGGUCGUGGGUUCGAAUCCCACAGAUGGCU
rnacentral:tRNA from 1 species